UUUCUGCCAUAUGGAGUGAAUGGAAUGCUUGCUGGAUCAGUGACCGUUUUCUUUGCCUACAUAGGCUUUGAUUCAGUUGCGAGCACCGCUGAGGAGGUGACGAAUCCACAACGAGAUCUGCCGCUGGGAAUAGCCAUGUCAUUGACGAUUUGCUGUUCCUUGUACAUGCUGGUUUCAGUUGUUAUUGUCGGUCUGGUGCCAUACUUUGCUAUGGACCCAGAUACCCCUAUUUCAUCCGCCUUUGCGAGGCACGGGAUGCAGUGGGCGAUUAUAUCAGUAACAUCUGGUGUUGUUCUCGCUCUCUGCUCAACCUUGAUGGGAUCACUUCUGCCACAGCCAAGGAUAUUGAUGGCCAUGGCGAGAGAUGGGCUAUUGCCAUCCUUCUUCUCUGAUGUUAGCGAGAAGACACAAGUUCCUGUCAAGAGCACAAUCAUAACUGGCAUCUGCGCGGCUUCUCUGGCUUUCUUCAUGGAUGUUUCACAACUGGCAGGAAUGGUCAGUGUAGGCACGCUCCUCGCGUUCACCAUAGUCGCCGUCUCCAUCUUGAUCCUCAGAUAUGUACCUCCAGAUGAGGUACCCCUGCCAACCUCUCUGCAAACGUCAUUCCGCUUAAGCCAAGAAUGUGAUGAGGAAAAGGUGGGGAGUCCUCUUGGAGAUGGGAACCAUGAACAGGGGACGUCUGAGAUUAAGGAUGUGAUCGUAGUAGAAUCAAUCAAUGACCCUCUUAUUGAGAAGCAGCUAUAUGCAAACAAAUUGGAUGAGUUAAAGCGGCGGAAAACCGCUGCUCGCAGCAUAGCAUCUGUAUGCGUAGGGGUGCUAAUCCUGACGGCUUCAGCUUCUGUAACGUUCCUGCCAUUCCUGGUGAUGUGCUUAUUCUGCGUGUUUGGUGGCCUGCUCCUCCUAGCUGGUCUCGGAAUGCUCUCCUGGAUCGACCAGGACGACGGAAGGCACUCAUUUGGUCACUCUGGAGGGUUCAUCUGCCCGUUUGUUCCGCUGCUGCCAGUGAUGUGCAUUCUCAUAAACACAUACUUGCUCAUAAAUCUAGGGGGUGGCAUGUGGAUGCGGGUCGGGGUAUGGCUGGUGAUGGGGAUCUUCGUGUACAUUUUCUGCGGCCGGACCCACAGCUCGCUGACGGAUGUCGUGUACGUCUCCCUGGCUCAGGCAAACGAGAUAUACGGUUCUUCCUCUUCGUCAGCGUUUGUGGCCUAG
rnacentral:rRNA from 1 species